UACGAAGGGGGCUAGCGUUGCUCGGAAUCACUGGGCGUAAAGCGCACGUAGGCGGCCUAGCAAGUUGGGGGUGAAAUCCCAGGGCUCAACCCUGGAACUGCCUUCAAAACUGCUAAGCUUGAGGAUGUGAGAGGUUGGCGGAAUUCCGAGUGUAGAGGUGAAAUUCGUAGAUAUUCGGAAGAACACCAGUGGCGAAGGCGGCCAACUGGCACAUUUCUGACGCUGAGGUGCGAAAGCGUGGGGAGCAAACAGG
rnacentral:rRNA from 1 species